ensembl:piRNA 21ur-12583 ncRNA
AUAGCGACGUCUUUUUGUAAU